AACAAAAUGAAUCUUGACGACAAAAUCACUUUGGUUAUGGUGUUGAGACCACUGGCAGUCCACAGAUAAAAUCAUUCAUUUGUGGGACUUUAACUGAACUUUUUAUUAUGAGACCACAUGCUCUUUUUUUCUGUAAACAAAGGAAAGCCAUAGAACUAUUUCCUUCUGGCUUCGUCUACAGCACUGCUGCCCUGUGUAAAGCAGACACCAAACUCUCUGUCCUUACAGUAGCACUGUGAGGGCCUGCUAGAUCCCUGCAACAAGUUUAGUUAGCAUGGACGGCUACUACACAAAGUCUGGCAGCUAACAUUAACAAGCAACUAAGGAAGUUAGCGCCAAGCUAACUGUAAGGAGAACAACAGAUGAGUGACCGGCUUCCUCUGAUCUGCACAAUCGGAAUACUGCACAGCAAGGACUUUUCCUGGAACACAAUUCCAGCUUGGCAGACAGACCGCAAGGAGUAGGCCUACUUCAAAGCAACAUUCUUUCCCUCCAUGGACUGAUCGUGGUACGUUGUAACUUUGUCAAGCAUCCUGGUUUGGUGGUCCCCUGGAUUCUUUGUUCUCUUGUACCUUGCCUGCCUGUGGAUUUUGGAUUUUGCCUGCCCACCACUGGACUAGUGUUUCUGUUUUGAAACUGCUUACCUGCUGUGAGCUACUGUUGCCUGCCAUCUUCAGUGUAAGCCUUUUGUUAGUAAAAUUAUCAAACUGCACCUGCUCUGCCUCUGAUGUCUGGAAUUGGGUCCUACUCCUGUUUUCCUGCUCGACACACCACAACAAUUGUGUUAUAUGCUUUCACGUUACAUCACAUCUUAAAUGAUCUAUUAUAUAAAUGCUUGUGUAUAAUUAUGCUGGUUUCUUUAACAUUGCACAACAGUUAAUAAUUCACCAACCUCUUCUAUGUUGAACUCCAAAUCCUUCAACCUACUAGCUGUUAAUGGUAAUUUUGGUUAUAGUUAGUUAUUUAAUUAUUAAUCAAAAUUCCAAAUUGAUAGUUUAGUGCAGUUUAUGAGACUGAAUAACUUAAUUAGUUAUCAUUUUCCCUUGUUUAAUAAGGGUGGUGCCCCGAGGACUUUAUUAAUUAAAGUUAUUAUUUAUGAUUAUAUUUGAUUCUGAUAGCCAUAAUUAAUUGAUUGGACCUAAACAAUUUGGUGCCCCUUUUAACCAUUGUAAAUUCCAACGGUUAGGGAAAUAUUUUGCUUUUGGUUAAAUGUUAAUAAAUUUAAAUAUUACCAGUCUCAUACUUCAAUUCUCUUUUGACUUUUUGAAUAUUAAACCAUGACCAUGAUUUUUCCCUAACUUUUACCAAGUGCUUUAGGGGCCUAAGCAUAACCAUGGAAAGCAUUAGUUGCUUUAGUUGCUACAAGUGGAUGUUGUAUUGCAAGAUUGGGUUUUGAAGGGAAAACAAAUAAAAUACAUUGUAAGUAAACAUACAGCAGAUAUGUUCUAUAUUAACAAUUUGCAACCUGGCAGAUGCAUCCAUUUCCUCAAUAUGUUGAUAGAAAUGGUCAAUAAGGUGGCAUUACGUUUCUACCAAAAGGUAUUUGCUGCCGCAAAUGUAAACCAUACCAUUGCAAACUCCUAAUUCUACUACCAUUAGAGGUUAGUGAAAAAUUAUGUUUUUUUGGAAUUUGUGUAGCUUGUGACCUCAUAUAAAAGUUUAUAUUAAUAAAUGUUGGUUUGAUUAUCUGUUGAUGAUUGCAAAA